rnacentral:rRNA from 1 species
GCUUGUCUCAAAGAUUAAGCCAUGCAUGUCUUAGUGUAAAUAACUCUUAUGAAACUGCGAAUGGCUCAUUAAAUCAGUUAUCAAAUACGUGAUGGUCGCCUACUACAUGGAUAACCGUAGUAAUUCUAGAGCUAAUACAUGCGUCAAGUCCCUACCGCGCGAGCGGGAAGGAUGUGUUUAUUAGAUACAACCAACCCUUCGGGUCCCUGGUGAAUCAUAAUAACCGAACGAACCGCAUGCUUCGGCGGCGGUGGUUCAUUCAAGUUUCUGCCCUAUCAGCUUUCGAUGGUAGGGUAUUGGCCUACCAUGGCGUUAACGGGUAACGGAGAAUUAGGGUUCGAUUCCGGAGAGGGAGCCUGAGAGAUGGCUACCACAUCCAAGGAAGGCAGCAGG